rnacentral:rRNA from 1 species
GAUGAACGCUGGCGGCGUGCUUAACACAUGCAAGUCGAGCGGUGAAGGCGGAGCUUGCUCUGCUGGAUCAGUGGCGAACGGGUGAGUAACACGUGAGCAAUCUGCCCCUGACUCUGGGAUAAGCGCUGGAAACGGCGGCUAAUACUGGAUACGAGCUGCGAAGGCAUCUUCAGCAGCUGGAAAGAACUUCGGUCAGGGAUGAGCUCGCGGCCUAUCAGCUUGUUGGGGAGGUAACGGCUCACCAAGGCGUCGACGGGUAGCCGGCCUGAGAGGGUGACCGGCCACACUGGGACUGAGACACGGCCCAGACUCCUACGGGAGGCAGCAGUGGGGAAUAUUGCACAAUGGGCGAAAGCCUGAUGCAGCAACGCCGCGUGAGGGACGACGGCCUUCGGGUUGUAAACCUCUUUUAGCAGGGAAGAAGCGAAAGUGACGGUACCUGCAGAAAAAGCGCCGGCUAACUACGUG